UCCUAUAAAUUCGAUGCGAUAGCAUCCCAUUUCUCAUCACUCACAGUCUCACUCCCAGAUCACAUCCUCAGAUUCAGAGUCGUCGAAAAUCAUCAAGAAGAUGGAGCGGCUGAGCUCAUCGGUGCAGUCGUGGGUGGAGGAACACAAGCUGGCCAGCAUCGGAGGGCUGUGGGCGACGGCGGUGGGCGCAUCGGUGGCGUACGGGCGGAGGAAGACGCCGCAGAUGCGGCUGAUCCACGCCAGGCUUCACGCGCAGGCCCUCACCCUCGCCGUCCUCGGUGGAGCCGCCCUUGCGCACCACUACUACAACCCAUCAUCCAACACCAACAACAGCAGCAGCUUGGACUACGACUUCUACUCGCAGCUGCCGCCGGCCACCACCGACGACGGCCAGGAGAACGAGAGGUGGAGCUGGUAGUGCUACCCUUCCUUCCUGCUGCAAGAUGCAGACAAAUGAAGAUGAUGACGAUCACGAUGAUCAAUUAGUAAUAAUCUAAUCGGCUCCAUUAGUUUUAUCUUAUCUUAAUAAUAGAGUAUGUCCUCCUCCUAAUCCAUCCACCUAGGAUGGUCUUAUCCACUCCAACCCAUCCUCUGCUCUGUACUAUGUAAUUAUCCAUUCCAUUCCAUCCGGACCCUGCUUUUCCGAUGCCUUGAUUACAAUUGAUGUCAGUGGUAUGCUUAUUUGUUCCUCCAUAUAAAUUGAUCUCUAAAAGAUGCA
rnacentral:lncRNA from 1 species